UGGAUGGAUGGAUGGAUGAGUGGAUGGAUGGAUGAUGGAUGGAUGGAUGGAUGGUGGAUGGAUGGAUGGGUGGGUGGAUGGAUGGGUGAGUAGAUGGGUGGAUGCUGUUGACAUUCAGAAAGCAGGUAGUGGGCAAAUAUGUAUAUACAAAAACUGACACAAUACCCCCCCCCCCAAUCAAUUUUUUUGACUUCCCUGUCACUGGGAAGUCCACAACCUCCUGGGCCCACAUGGAACAACCACCAUAUCAUUAUAUCUGCUCCUCGUCUCCUGCCCACCAUGCCUGCCCUGGUUCAAGCCAUGUGCCCCCUUUCCUGGACACCACACUGGGACCCUAGCUUUUCUCUGCCCUGGGGCUCAUCCUCUUCCUUCAAACCGGCUGCAGAUUUCAUAGCUCUGGUCAUAUCUUCCCUUCUGGGUCUUCCACAUGAUGACAUCCAAACCCCUCACAUAUUUUUCCAAAUCCUUCACUGCAUGGCCUCAGUCUGGCUUUGCAGGACUGUCGUCUCGCCCCCAGAGAAUAUGGGGGCCUUGCAGUUCCCCCCAGAUCGCCCCACCCUCAUGUCCUAGUUUAUAUCUGGAACACCUGUCACCUCACCUGCCCUUCAGAGCCCAGUGAAGAUGAUGCUUCCUCCCGGAAGUCUCCCACUCUGGACUCCAAACUCACCCCAAACCAGGAAGGAAAUACUCUUUUUCUGAAACACCAUGACAUGUAUUCCACCUUGAAGGUGCCCUCUGUCCACCUACCCCCUCGUACAGCCCCGUCUGACCCCUACAGUGGCCGGCCCUGCCUCGGCACCGGUGACAGCAAGAAGGAGGGAUGGGUCUGGUUGGGUGGGCAACCACGCCUGGGGCAGGGGAGUGUCUCAGACCCAGCUGGCAUCGAAGGGAACGGGCCCACGUGGGUGGAGACAGCGGACGGACAGGCGCCCGUGACAGGGACACAAUGUCUGCCUCACACCCACCGAAUGCCAGCCUCUGCCCCGCUCACGCGUGCUGACUUAGGCGUUGUUUUCAUUUCUGUUUGUUUUGUGAGCAGACACAGGAACCAGCUCAGAGGAAGGUGGUUUGUGAAGAGCUCACCCCUCUUCAGGGACCAAGUUUGGGACUUCAGCCAAGGCCUUCUGACCCCAAGUCCGUUAGGCGCCCUUGGAAGUGCCCAUGACUGGCUGCAAAUAGCGUCGGGUGCAGUAGGCCAGGAGACAGCUGGAUGGACAGAUGGACAAGCUCCCAGGUGCAGGAGCCCGAGCCCGCCGCUCCUGCACCCCCUCUGCCCAGGCCAGAGACAGCUCACCUUGCACACUCCUUCCCCAGAAGCCCCGGGCCUUUCUGCCCUGGCUGUCCCCCAGGAAGGACGUGGGGGAGCAGCCCCGGGGUGGAGGCAGCGUGAUCUCCCUUCCACCCCUCAGAAGGACCAAUUCCUGCCCGCCC